AAAAUAUUUUUAUGUUUUGAGCUUUCACACUUCCUGUUUCCUGGAAUGGCCACAGGAUGUAAUUUCCUUCUUUACCGCAGAGUGGCGCUGUGGCCCCGUUCAAAUACACGAGUCCAUCCGAGGCGUCUUUGCGUCACACUUCAGGGAGGUAAACACAGCAGUCAAGUGGAGAGGACGCUGAGUCAAGCGUGAAGAUCAAUCUACUUGCGUCAGGGCCAGCACCCACCUGCUCCCAGGUGUCACCAUCCAAUGUCCAUGAAGGGAAAGAGUUUCCACACAGGUAUGUUCCAUUUUCACAUGCAUUGGAUUACAUGUCAGUAUGAGGCAGACAUAAAUGUCAGACAGGGAAACACCUUUCUAAUAAUAAAUACAAAAAAAAACCUUUGCUGAUAAUUUUUGGGCUUUGGGAAUAUGUUAAUAAAUUAUUAGAAAAUAGCAAAUGACAAAAUGCAAUAACAUUUAUAGUGAAUAAUGAUGGAAUAAUGAGGAAGACAUUUAAUGCAUGAUUUUUUUUUUUUGGCAAGUUUAACUUUGUAAAUGUUUAACAAAUUCCUAUGGCAGUAAAACAAAAAAAACAAUUCUGGAAUAAAAUAAUAAACACAAUGAAUACAUAAAAUAUAGGGAUGUCCGAUAAUGGCUUUUUUGCCGAUAUUCCGAUAUUGUCCAACUCUUAAU